rnacentral:lncRNA from 1 species
AUGUUGUCAACAAACAACUACUCUGGUCUCGUACCCCCUCAACUGCCUGAAUUAUGUGAUGUUCUACCUGAAAAUGAAAAACCAUUGGUAACAAAUAUAAUAAACAUGAAAGAGUGCAUGUUUAUCCUUUCUUCCUUAUGUGGGUUCCAGGACUAUGAAAACACGGAUGACUUCUGGUGCUGUGCGGUGUGGAGGGAAGGCCAGGAGGAGGUGGAGGGUGUGGUUCCCAGUACCUGGGUGGUGGGCAGGAAGGUCCUGUGGCCUCCAGCCAAUGGGAGGAAGGCUCUGAAAGAGAGACACAAGCCAGGAGCCAAUUGGACGACAUAUGACCUUGUUAAAGUCAAACUAUUCUCAGAAUCUCUGGAAGAGUGUGAAGGCUACAGUAGGUCCAGUGAUGAGCUCACUGACAACGGAGACAGUGAGCCCAACACGCAAAAGAAGAAGAGGAGGAGGAGGAAGAGGAGGACGGGUGAGGGGCACGUUACCGGCACUGAUCAGAUACCUCAAGGAGGACCCAGUGGAGAUGGAAGGAUACACACAGGUGACAGAAUCCUUAGAGAAUGUAUUGGGCCACCGUGUUGUACUUUCACUAAACUAGCCAUAUGUAUGGAACACAAUUCUGUAGCUGUACUCAUUGCCUGUUUAUCCAAAGGUGUGUCAGGAUCCUCAAACUCUCCUCCUCUGAAGAGGAGAGUGAUGACGAAAUCUGGAACCCUGGAGGAGAGUUCUGGAGCUCUAGAAGCAGAACCUCAGCUGGAUCCGUCUGAGCUCAGAGGCCUUGAUGACGCACUCAACAAGGAGAGCUACCUCAUAGAGGGACCACACUCUUCUGACGCAUGUGAGAGAAACAAAGGCUGUCUAAUGGUCCUGUGCGAAUGUUGCCCAAAGGAGGGUUAUUUUAUUAUAUGUUUUUUAGGGGGUAGAUCAGCUUUAAAAUUGCAAAUAGAUUACAUUAAUGGAAGCUACAUCACUUCCAAGUCCCAAUAUAUUUAUUUGCACAUAAAUACAUAUAAGUACAGUACCAGUCAAAAGUUUGGACAACUACUCAUUCAAGGGUUUUUCUUUAUUUUUACUAUUUCCUACAUUGUAGAAUUAUUGUGA